UAUAUAUUUUUGUGUAAAAAAAACCAUUUUAUGUUUUUUACAUGCAAAGGUGAAAAAAAUGGCUCACACUCUCAAAUUUGUUUAUAUUGUGAUCUUUUUUGUUUCUCUUUUUAUCAUUGCGGUCGUUGGUCAAACAAAGUGUGAUACCGACUACGACUGCUAUAAAUUAGAUCCAAGUGAGCCUCAUGGAUCAUUGACGUGCUAUGGAGGUUAUUGUAUAAGCCUGAUAGAUUUAGAGUGAGAUUGAGUAGUAGUAUCAAGGUGGUUGUUCAUGGGAAUAAAGUGGAGCAUUAUUCUCUCAGCAUAUGCUAGGGUGUUCUAUAAAGUUUGUUGGUCUCAAAAAUAAUAGUGGGAUGCUAUACAGAUUUCCCACUAAUAUAUGUAAUGUUUUUUUUUACGAAUAAAUUUUGUCUUUUGUUUGACCACUGCACUCUUUUUCCCUUACCUGAUAUUCUUCUUUGAGAUUUACAAGAUUUUUAAUGAAGCAGUUGUCUUUUUUUUAGGUACUACUGGGAUUUUGGCCUAAUCCCACAAGUUUUGUAUUCCAGAUUUUAAUUUUAUGUUAUUGUGAGUUAACUUGUUUUUUAA